ensembl:lncRNA
GUAUGAACUCCACUGAGCCCACUGUCGUAAUAAAGGUUUUUCUCCACCUCUUCAAGUGACCAUCAGAUGCUCGAGUCUUCAAAUUGCAAUAGCUGUGAUGCUGAGCUGUGACACUCUGCUGUAACACUGAGCUCUAACACUUGGCUGUGCCUCAGAGCUGUAACACUUGGCUAUAGCACUGAGCUGUUCUGCUUUGCCACAACACCCAGAGCACUGGGAUUACAGGUGUAGCCCACAUUAGCUCAGAGGGAAUGUUGUAUAUUUUUGGGGGGUACCAGGGUUUGAACUCAGGACCUUGUGCUUGUGAGGCAGGCGGUGGAACCACUGAGCUAAAUCCCCAGCCUGGGAAUGUUGUAUUAAAUCAUCACUGCCAGACCAUCAGUUUUCUCUCUGAAGAUACACACCAGGUCAUGGAGCAGAAGCGGUAAACUCACAGAGGUGCUGAAUGACCAACAAGUGACAAGAACCUGUUGAUGUGAGGUAAGAGAUGACCCUGUGAUUCAAACUGCUUCAAUCUGAAAGAUCCACUGGUCCCUGAUUACCCAGGAGGGCUGGCUCUGUGUUUAAAGAGAGACCUUUCCUCCCUAUAGCUCAUGUAUCCUGAUGACAAGCUCAACCGUGGAGAUAACCUCCCUGUGGUUUUUGUUGUCCAGUGAAGUUUAAAUUUGCUCCUCUACAUAAUGGGAGAUGUAAUAGAAGCCUUCCUAGGGCCGGGGAUUUAGCUCAGUGGUUCCACUGCUUGCCUCGCAAGCACAAGGUACCGAGUUCGAUCCCCAGUACCAAAAAAAAAAGAAAGAAAAAGAAGAAGCCUUUCUAAAAGUGUUGCAAAUUCAUUGAAAAACCACAAGCCGGCACACAUUCUCUGGGGGUUAUCUGGAAGUUACCUGCCGUGAUAGUGACUGUGGAUAGUGUGAUGGGGAGGAGAGAGGGCAUUUAAAACAGAAAGCCGGCAGUCUGAAGGAGGUGGCAGUGUGUCCCGGCAGUUCAGUCCCCCACGUCACUGUGGGGGGCUUUGCAACAGCUGAGGUGUGUGUUGGGAGAGGUUGUCCACUAGAACUUUGCACCGGUCAGAGCAAGGGGAUGAGAACUGAGACUAUGAGAUGAGAAACCCUAAGAGCGUAGUUCUCAAAGCCUUUGGUUGCAAGAUCCUGCAUUCUCCUAAACAUUAAGAAUUCCCCAAGAACUUUUGUUUUUGUGGUUAAAUCUACUGAUAUUUAUCAUAAUAGAGAUUCACAUUAAGAAAUAGUUAACUCAUGAAGUCACUUAAAAAUAAUGCUAAACGCAUUUAGGUUGACAUAAAUAUUUUUAUUUGAAAAUUACUGUAUUUUCUAAGAAUGUCAGUGAGGACAGUGAUUUUUGUUUUACAUAUUUACAAAUCUCUUUUAAUGGCUAGUGUAAUAGAUAACAAGUGGGUUUUCAAUCUGCUUUUGUUCUUUUGUUUUGUUUUUGGUACUGGGGAUCAAACUCUGGUCCUUGCGCUUACAGGGCAGGCGGCGGAACCACUGAGCUAAAUCCCCAGCCCUCAAUCUGCUUUUGCAGUCCAUUGUUACAUGCUGUUACCUGUUACGUGUUUUGGUUGAAAGAUUUAAGGAAAUUAUGGACUCAUGCUGAUUUGUAGUUGGAAAAAUUAGAAAUUUAUAGACCUCCCCGUGCAUGCUUCCUGCAGCACACAUACUAUAGAUCCCCUGAUGGGCUUCAAGGAUCCAAGAAGUCCUUCGAUAAAGCUUUGAAAAUUACUGUUUCAGAGUUCACUUAAUCAUAUUUACAAAAAAAUCUAUAACUAUGUGCAGUGAGAUUCUGAUAUUAACUUCCUAUUUUUUAAUAAGGACUUUCUUAGGCAGAUACAGCUGUGGAAAUGGAUGGCUCUGGACCAGCCUAGCCCUCUCUCUCUCUCUUUAAAUUCUGAGACAAGAUCUCACUUAGUCACUAAGUUGCCCAGGCUGGACCUAAACUUGUGAUCCUCCUACCUCAGCCUCGAAGAAUGCUGGGAUUACAGUAUGUCCGGAAUCUUCCGAUCAGCACCUGUCUGGGUUGCUAUGUAUGUAUCCACGUUGACAGUUCAUGUACUGCAGUGUAUUUAUCACCUCCCUUUCGAAUUGAACUGAGAACUCUAAGCGCCUGAUUUAAACCAUCAGCUGGAGAGCUUGCUGAGGCAGGCACAGCUGAAAGGCUUGGGCUCUGUGGUUGCCGAGCAAGACCUGAGCAGUCAGUCGCCCCUUGAACUGUAGGGCUCUGCACCUUGCUUCCCUAUGCUCACCACUUGUGGUAUUUGGAACUGGAUAGAGCCAGAAAUUCCAAAAAGAAGCCACCUCAGCAAAAUCAACAAUCUGUUUUUCCUUGAAAAUUCAAAGACGCACUAGACAAAUGAGUCCCUCUGAAAAGCUGUCCUUUUGUAAAGGAAAAUGAUAUCUACAAAGAAAAAUGAUCACCAGACAAGGUACCGGGAAGAGAGGCUUCAGACAACUUCUACAGCCUGAAAGCCUUUCAUCUACAAAAAGCAAACUGCUUUAUCCACCGUCCAUUUCCUUCUCUCCCUCUUAUAAUUUGUCUCCAUCUGCCCCAGAAGCCCGGUGCUCUUCCUGCCCUCAGGAUGCUCUAUAAACCUCGGUCAUGGGACCUUUCUGUGUGUCUCAUACUUUGGUGGGAUUUCCAUGUGUGAGAAAGCAGUUACAAUGGUUUCUCUCCUAUGUCAGUUUAAACUGUAGCCAAAGACGCCAGGAGGGCAGAGAGAAGCCAAGGGUCCCUCUCCCCAAAGGCAAGGCGAUGGGGUGGGAACUUGGAGGGGCCAGAGGAAGGGCAGAGAACCUAGUGGGAGACACUGACCCCUGGCCCCAGACAGAGCCAAGCCUCCGAGGGACGAAGGCCACCUCCCGGUUUCCUGUGCAAGGUGCUAACUACAUGGGGAAGGUCACCACUUACCGGUCUGUGGGAGAGAAUCUAGGUCCGCAAGUUUGGUCUGGGUGAGGACGGGGAACUUGGACCACAGCAGAGUACAGCGAUGUACUGUAGCUGGCCCGGCCAUUGUACUUCUGUCUCCUAGAAGCCUAUAGCCACCUGAAGGAAGGUGAAGUGCUCUGUGGCUGCACAGCAUGAGCACCACUUCCUCUGAGACCCCAGUCAGGAGAGAGGUUCCACACAUCCCUGGGGGAGCUCUUCCUGGAGCUGGGCAGAAAGGACAACAAACACGUUUCCACCAAGUAUCCAACGCCAUCAUAACCCCCUGACCACAUGGCCACAGGCGGCAAGUGUAGGCCACUCAGGAGCAUGGGGAGGACAGUGUGAGGGUUCCCAUGACCUCAGCCUGAUGCUGUCCACACUGGAGAAACAGCUCCCUCCGCUAAGUGAGCCCAGGCACCUGCUUUCUGGUACUGGAGGAACAGCUCUGGAGGCAUGCAAGGGAACAUGCUUCCAGAGCAGAUCUGCCGCUGGGCAUCUGACUGUCCCUGAACUACAGGGAGUCCAGAGGAACAGUGACGGUGAGGACAAGAACGAGGGGUCAGCAGCAGCUCCACUCCUGUUGUUCUUCACAGUUUACAGCUGGAGGGCACUCUUGGGCAUCCCCCUCCCUGCUGUGGCAUCUCCAACUCCUGCUUUUUCUCUUGUGAAAGUGGAGGCCGUUCUUGGCAAGUCUCUUUCUUUCUAGCUGAUAUUCUAGAGUCAACUUUGACGAUGCCUCUUCCUUCUCUUGCUUCAGCAAGCACAUUGUCUGCUUCCCCAUUGACAAAUCUCCAUCCAGCUCCUUCCCCCCUGCUGUGCCCACUUAACACACCAGGUUAGGAGUGAAGGGUGCAAGGAAAUGUGAGAUUCAGUCCCUGUGAUCAGGAUGUCACUGUGAGCUAACCAAUAUGUCAGGAUGGAAGGACCUCCACUAUUUUGGUAAAAUAGACUCAGUGUGUUGGUUGGAAAGUUUCGUUUCGGCUUGAUUUGAUUUGAUUUUUCCAUGAUCAACACUUUGAUGAGAUACUGCUCUUCUCAAACCUUUCUUUAACCACCAAAGACUCCCCCAAAAUCUCUGAUGUACACUUACAUACAAUAUCUUAGGUGCCCGGCUAAGGGCUUCAUAACAACGGGCUCCUGGGCUGAGGUGUAGCUCAGUGGUAGAGCACUUGCAGAGCGUGUAUGAGGCCUUGAGUUUGAUCUGUAGACACACACACACACACACAAAUAAUAAUAGUUCUUAUGAUAAAUACAGCUGAUAAAAUUUCCAGAAUGUUCUAAAUUUAAUCGCAAAGACCACAGGGUGGUAGUGGGUUAGUCAGCUAACAGCUGCUGGCAAAACCAACAAGAAGACUGCUUAUGUUUGAAUGGGAUUUAUGAUUUAAACACCAGGGCUUUAUUGCUGUACACAUAAACUCUCUGGACCAUUGAUACCAACCAAUCCAAGAGCAACAAGAAGAACUACUUCUCCUUCUCCUUCUCCUUCUUCUCCUCCUCCUCCUUCUUCUUUUCUUUGUUUUAGCUUUGGAGCUGGGGAUUGAACCCAGCAAGCUCACACAUGCUAAGUGCGUGUUCUACCCCGAGCUCCACCCGAGCCUGCUUGUCCUCAGUCCUCCUGUCCCUCCUGUGCCUGCUGCACCUGAUCCACCCCUCCUAUCUAGAAUCAGUGCAGGUUACUCUGUAGGAAGUGCUUUCCUUCUCCCAAGUUUAUUAAAAAUGCUCUGAGUUCUGGCCUGGUGACAUUUUCCAACUGCCACCUGGCCCUGCUGCUGGUAAUUGUGGAAACUCGUCCCAGGACCUGGUGCCUUUUCUGCCUAACAUCUCUAAUGGCUCAAGAAACUCUUUCAUUUCAGAGAUCCUUUGGUCUCUAGAGUUUCAACCUCACAUAUAAUUUUGAUAUGAUGUACAUUUCCUUAGCCAGGUGUGGUGGUGCACACCUGUAAUCCCAGCACCGCAGGAGGCUGAGGCAGGAGGAUUGUGAGUUUGAGCUCUAUGUGAGUAAUUUAGUGACUUAGUGAGACCCUAUCUCAAAAUAAGAAGUAAGCCCUUUAGCUGAGGAUGUAGCACAGUGUGAAGACCCUGGGUUCAGUCUUCAGUACUGGAAAAAAAAAGUCACUUCAUUGGCGCUGGGGGUGUAGCUCUGUGGUAGAGAGAUUGCAUAGUGUACUGGAGGCCAUGGGUUCCAUUCCCAGUACCUCAGUCAAUCAACCAAUCAAUCAAUCAGUCAAUCAGUAAGUCACCUCAUUAACAUAAUCUCUUCUCCUUGAGGGGACUUGUCAUAAACAGCAAAGACAGUCUUUACACCUUGUCACUCUGUGGCUUUCACGUUUAUCACACCUGCAAAAUCACCGAGGUUUUAGGGCCUCUGUACCAGUUAUCCUGGAAGGGGACCAAGAUAUGCAUUUCUCAGUGCAUCAGUCUCACACACUUCCCCCAAGUCACUACCACGACCAUGCCCCUGCACACGGAGGAGGUCCACAGAAGUGAUGCAAACUCACGACAUUUAAGCAGGAAACCAGAAUGGAGAGGUGGGUGGAUCCCUGCUGCCACCUCUUAGGCUGUGGACCACUCC